AACUGGCCUAUCUGGUUAAAUAAAGGUGUUCUCAACUAGCCUACCUGGUUAAAUAAAGGUGUUCUCAACUAGCCUACCUGGUUAAAUAAAGGUGUUCUCAACUAGCCUACCUGGUUAAAUAAAGGUGUUCUCAACUAGCCCACCUGGUUAAAUAAAGGUGUUCUCAACUAGCCUACCUGGUUAAAUAAAGGUGUUCUCAACUAGCCUACCUGGUUUAAUAAAGGUGUUCUCAACUAGCCUACCUGGUUAAAUAAAGGUGUUCUCAACUAGCCUACCUGGUUAAAUAAAGGUGUUCUCAACUAGCCUACCUGGUUAAAUAAAGGUGUUCUCAACUGGCCUACCUGGUUAAAUAAAGGUGUUCUCAACUAGCCUACCUGGUUAAAUAAAGGUGUUCUCAACUGGCCUACCUGGUUAAAUAAAGGUGUUCUCAAC
ensembl:lncRNA